CCUCUCAGGGAGGGAGGGCAGGAUGAGGUCCCCGUUGCCUGAGCAGUGGGCCUCCCUCCAUCCCUCUAGGUGCACGCCUGGUGAGAGCUCUGUGCCUCCAUCCAGCUCCCCACCUCCCUGCCCCACCCGCUCCCCGGAACCGCCCCCCUCUCAGCCCUGGGCCGCUCAUGCCCUCUGGGUUCUGUUUUCAUUCCAGGCUGUGGAUCCGGUCGUGGGAAGCAGGUGCAAGAGCCUGCGGGGAUGAACCCCACUGAAUCUGAGCAGCCCGUCCUGUGUUCCUGGCCACCAGGACGUGUGCACCCCAGGCUUUGAUGAGACCCCCCCAGACUCGGAUCCUACAUUGCCUGUCCCCACGGGACCAGGGGACUCUCAGCCCUUCCCACAAAGGUUCCAGCCUUCAUCCACAGGGACUCCAAAACAUGCAUCUGUCAGGUAAGUUACAGGACCAGAACCUUGGGAGAGGACAUGCCGAGCAAGCCACUGAGAAAACUGAAAUAAAAUGAAUUCC